rnacentral:rRNA from 1 species
UACGUAGGGUGCAAGCGUUAUCCGGAAUUAUUGGGCGUAAAGAGCUUGUAGGCGGUUUGUCGCGUCUGCUGUGAAAAUCCGGGCUCAACCCGGACUUGCAGUGGGUACGGGCAGACUAGAGGUGCGGUAGGGGAGAUUGGAAUUCCUGGUGUAGCGGUGGAAUGCGCAGAUAUCAGGAGGAACACCGCUGGCGAAGGCAGAUCUCUGGGCCGUAACUGACGCUGAGGAGCGAAAGCAUGGGGAGCGAACAGG